rnacentral:rRNA from 1 species
AGAGUUUGAUCCUGGCUCAGGACGAACGCUGGCGGCGCGCCUAACACAUGCAAGUCGAACGAGCGAGAGGAAGCUUGCUUUCUCAAGCGAGUGGCGAACGGGUGAGUAACGCGUGAGGAACCUGCCUCAAAGAGGGGGACAACAGUUGGAAACGACUGCUAAUACCGCAUAAGCCCACAGCUCGGCAUCGAGCAGAGGGAAAAGGAGUAAUCCGCUUUGAGAUGGCCUCGCGUCCGAUUAGCUGGUUGGUGAGGUAACGGCCCACCAAGGCGACGAUCGGUAGCCGGACUGAGAGGUUGAACGGCCACAUUGGGACUGAGACACGGCCCAGACUCCUACGGGAGGCAGCAGUGGGGAAUAUUGCACAAUGGGGGAAACCCUGAUGCAGCGACGCCGCGUGGAGGAAGAAGGUCUUCGGAUUGUAAACUCCUGUUGUUGAGGAAGAUAAUGACGGUACUCAACAAGGAAGUGACGGCUAACUACGUGCCAGCAGCCGCGGUAAAACGUAGGUCACAAGCGUUGUCCGGAAUUACUGGGUGUAAAGGGAGCGCAGGCGGGAAGGCAAGUUGGAAGUGAAAUCCAUGGGCUCAACCCAUGAACUGCUUUCAAAACUGUUUUUCUUGAGUAGUGCAGAGGUGGGCGGAAUUCCCGGUGUAGCGGUGGAAUGCGUAGAUAUCGGGAGGAACACAGUGGCGAAGGCGGGCUACUGGGCACCAACUGACGCUGAGGCUCGAAAGUGUGGGUAGCAAACAGGAUUAGAUACNCUGGUAGUCCACACUGUAAACGAUGAUUACUAGGUGUUGGAGGAUUGACCCCUUCAGUGCCGCAGUUAACACAAUAAGUAAUCCACCUGGGGAGUACGACCGCAAGGUUGAAACUCAAAGGAAUUGACGGGGGCCCGCACAAGCAGUGGAGUAUGUGGUUUAAUUCGACGCAACGCGAAGAACCUUACCAAGUCUUGACAUCCUGCGACGCACAUAGAAAUAUGUGUUUCCUUCGGGACGCAGAGACAGGUGGUGCAUGGUUGUCGUCAGCUCGUGUCGUGAGAUGUUGGGUUAAGUCCCGCAACGAGCGCAACCCUUAUGGUCAGUUACUACGCAAGAGGACUCUGGCCAGACUGCCGUUGACAAGACGGAGGAAGGUGGGGAUGACGUCAAAUCAUCAUGCCCUUUAUGACUUGGGCUACACACGUACUACAAUGGCGUUAAACAAAGAGAAGCAAGACCGCGAGGUGGAGCAAAACUCAGAAACAACGUCCCAGUUCGGACUGCAGGCUGCAACUCGCCUGCACGAAGUCGGAAUUGCUAGUAAUCGCAGAUCAGCAUGCUGCGGUGAAUACGUUCC